rnacentral:tRNA from 1 species
GGCGCCAUAGUGUAGUGGUAUGCACACAGAACUUAUUCUAUCUGUAGCCCGGGUUCGAUUCCCGGUGGUGCCC